GGAGGAACCAUGGGAUCGCAAGACCUUGCGCUCAUUGAGCGGCCGAUGCCUGAUUAGCUAGUUGGUGAGGUAAAGGCUUACCAAGGCGACGAUCAGUAGCUGGUCUGAGAGGACGACAGCCACACUGGGACUGAGACACGGCCCAGACUCCUACGGGAGGCAGCAGUGGGGAAUUUUGGACAAUGGGGGAAACCCUGAUCCAGCCAUGCCGCGUGAGUGAAGAAGGCCUUCGGGUUGUAAAGCUCUUUCAGCCGGAACGAAACGGUCACGGCUAAUACCUGUGACUACUGACGGUACCGGAAGAAGAAGCACCGGCUAACUACGUGCCAGCAGCCGCGGUAAUACGUAGGGUGCGAGCGCUAAUCGGAAUUACUGGGCGUAAAGCGUGCGCAGGCGGUUUUGUAAGUCAGAUGUGAAAUCCCCGGGCUUAACCUGGGAACUGCGUUUGAAACUACAAAGCUAGAAGGG
rnacentral:rRNA from 1 species